rnacentral:rRNA from 1 species
AGUGAACGCUGGCGGUAGGCCUAACACAUGCAAGUCGAACGGCAGCACAGUAAGAGCUUGCUCUUACGGGUGGCGAGUGGCGGACGGGUGAGGAAUACAUCGGAAUCUACUUUUUCGUGGGGGAUAACGUAGGGAAACUUACGCUAAUACCGCAUACGACCUACGGGUGAAAGCAGGGGAUCUUCGGACCUUGCGCGAUUGAAUGAGCCGAUGUCGGAUUAGCUAGUUGGCGGGGUAAAGGCCUACCAAGGCGACGAUCCGUAGCUGGUCUGAGAGGAUGAUCAGCCACACUGGAUCUGAGACACGGUCCAGACUCCUACGGGAGGCAGCAGUGGGGAAUAUUGGACAAUGGGCGCAAGCCUGAUCCAGCCAUACCGCGUGGGUGAAGAAGGCCUUCGGGUUGUAAAGCCCUUUUGUUGGGAAAGAAAAGCAGCAGGUUAAUACCCCGCUGUUCUGACGGUACCCAAAGAAUAAGCACCGGCUAACUUCGUG